GGGGAAUAUUGCGCAAUGGGGGAAACCCUGACGCAGCGACGCCGCGUGAGCGAAGAAGGCCUUCGGGUUGUAAAGCUCUGUUCUAAGGGACGAAGGACUUGGCUGUGAAUAAUGGUCAAGGGUGACGGUACCUUAGGAGAAAGCCCCGGCUAACUACGUGCCAGCAGCCGCGGUAAUACGUAGGGGGCGAGCGUUGUCCGGAAUUAUUGGGCGUAAAGCGCGCGCAGGCGGCUGUUUAAGUCUGGUGUUUAAUCCUGGGGCUCAACCCCGGGUCGCACUGGAAACUGGACAGCUUGAGUGCAGAAGAGGAGAGUGGAAUUCCGCGUGUAGCGGUGAAAUGCGUAGAGAUGUGGAGGAACACCAGUGGCGAAGGCGACUCUCUGGGCUGUAACUGACGCUGAGGCGCGAAAGCGUGGGGAGCAAGC
rnacentral:rRNA from 1 species